rnacentral:rRNA from 1 species
AUUGAACGCUGGCGGCAGGCCUAACACAUGCAAGUCGAGCGAAGCGGCGGAUGGGUGAGUAACGCGUGGGUAACCGGACCUUAAGUCUGGGAUACCAUUUGGAAACAGAUGCUAAUACCGGAUACUAAAGGAUGGACCUGCGAUGCAUUAGCUAGUUGGUAAGGUAACGGAUUACCAAGACGAUGAUGCAUAGGCGGGGUGGGAGACUGAUCGGCCACAUUGGGACUGAGACACGGCCCAAACUCCUACGGGAGGCAGCAGUAGGGAAUCUUCCACAAUGGACGAAAGUCUGAUUGAGCAACGCCGCGUGAGUGAAGAAGGUGUUCGGAUCGUAAAGCUCUGUUGUUGGUGAAGCGGUAAUCAACCAGAAAGUCACGGCUAACUACGUGCCAGCAGCCGCGGUAAUUC